rnacentral:sRNA from 1 species
CGACCGUCGAACACGUGACAGAAUGCUGCCGCGGAGGCGCUUGCCGCCUCCUCGGCCCCGCCGGCCUCCUCCCUCUCGCCCUUCCGGGCGCGUUGGUUGCUGGCCGGAAUACGGCGCGGGAUGACGCCAAGGAACACGGUAAAGCUGAGGCGCCGGCGAGCCGCUCGAGGUCUCCGUCGGUUGCCAAGGCCAACAGAAAAAAAAAAUAUGACUCUCGGCAACGGAUAUCUCGGCUCUCGCAUCGAUGAAGAACGUAGCGAAAUGCGAUACGUGGUGUGAAUUGCAGAAUCCCGUGAACCAUCGAGUCUUUGAACGCAAGUUGCGCCCGAGGGACCCUCCCGAGGGCACGCCUGCCUCAUGGGCGUUAGAAGCCCAUCCACGCUCGGUUGCCUAACUAACGGCAGAGAUGCGGACAUUGGCCCUCCGAACCGCGAGGCGCGGUGGGCCUAAGUGUGCGGCCGUCGUACGUGGCCGGGAGCGGCGAGUGGUGGGCUACUGCGCACGYCGCCCCGAGCCCCGUACCGACGCAGGGCCUUGUACGACCCCCUAACGAGGAGCAAGCCGCUGCGGCUCCGGCUGCGCGGCGCCUUCGGACCGAUACCCCAGGUC